GUUGAGAUGGCCUAUUUGGUCUAAGGCGCCAGAUUCAGGUACUGGUCCGAAAGGGCGUGGGUUCAAAUCCCACUCUCAACA
rnacentral:tRNA from 1 species